UACGUAGGCAGCAAGCGUUGUUCGGAGUUACUGGGCGUAAAGGGUGUGUAGGCGGUUCUUUAAGUUUGGUGUGAAAGCUCCCGGCUCAACUGGGAGAGGUCCUUGGAUACUGGCAGACUUGAGGGAGGUAGAGGAGAGUGGAAUUCCCGGUGUAGUGGUGAUAUGCGUAGAUAUCGGGAGGAACACCAGUGGCGAAGGCGGCUCUCUGGGCCUUCCUGACGCUGAGACGCGAAAGCGUGGGGAGCGAACAGG
rnacentral:rRNA from 1 species